CAGCUCGAUACUCUUUAAUAUCCUCCUCUUAGACCUCGACGAUCUAGAUGUAGGGUGAUGCACAUAUGGAGGAGGUCGUGCAGAAGCUUUGGAGCCAAUGAUCUCAGAGCUUUCAAGAUACCGUCUGCGAUACGAUAGUUGAGAUUCUCAAAGAUCCACAUCUAUAUGAUCAAUUGAGCUCAUUGUCAUAGCCAUUAUAAU
rnacentral:lncRNA from 1 species